GACGAACGCUGGCGGCGUGCCUAAUACAUGCAAGUUGAGCGAUGAAGAUUGGUGCUUGCACCAAUUUGAAGAGCAGCGAACGGGUGAGUAACGCGUGGGGAAUCUGCCUUUGAGCGGGGGACAACAUUUGGAAACGAAUGCUAAUACCGCAUAACAACUUUAAACAUAAGUUUUAAGUUUGAAAGAUGCAAUUGCAUCACUCAAAGAUGAUCCCGCGUUGUAUUAGCUAGUUGGUGAGGUAAAGGCUCACCAAGGCGAUGAUACAUAGCCGACCUGAGAGGGUGAUCGGCCACAUUGGGACUGAGACACGGCACAAACUCCUACGGGAGGCAGCAGUAGGGAAUCGUCGGCAAGGGACGAAAGUCUGACCGAGCAACGCCGCGUGAGUGAAGAAGGUUUUCGGAUCGUAAAACUCUGUUGGUAGAGAAGAACGUUGGUGAGAGUGGAAAGCUCAUCAAGUGACGGUAACUACCCAGAAAGGGACGGCUAACUACGUG
rnacentral:rRNA from 1 species